UACGUAGGGCGCAAGCGUUGUCCGGAAUUAUUGGGCGUAAAGAGCUCGUAGGCGGCCUGUCGCGUCUGCUGUGAAAUCCCGGGGCUUAACCCCGGGCGUGCAGUGGAUACGGGCUGGCUGGAGGCAGGCAGGGGAGAACGGAAUUCCCGGUGUAGCGGUGAAAUGCGCAGAUAUCGGGAGGAACACCGGUGGCGAAGGCGGUUCUCUGGGCAUGUCCUGACGCUGAGGAGCGAAAGUGUGGGGAGCGAACAGG
rnacentral:rRNA from 1 species